rnacentral:rRNA from 1 species
GACGAACGCUGGCGGCGUGCUUAACACAUGCAAGUCGAACGGAAAGGCCCUGCUUUUGUGGGGUGCUCGAGUGGCGAACGGGUGAGUAACAAGUGAGUAACCUGCCCUUGACUUUGGGAUAACUUCAGGAAACUGGGGCUAAUACCGGAUAGGAGCUCCUGCUGAAUGGUGGGGGUUGGAAAGUUUCGGCGGUUGGGGAUGGACUCGCGGCUUAUCAGCUUGUUGGUGGGGUAGUGGCUUACCAAGGCUUUGACGGGUAGCCGGCCUGAGAGGGUGACCGGCGACAUUGGGACUGAGAUACGGCCCAGACUCCUACGGGAGGCAGAAGUGGGGAAUAUUGCACAAUGGGCGGAAGCCUGAGGCAGCAACGCCGCGUGCGGGAUGACGGCCUUCGGGUUGUAAACCGCUUUCGCCUGUGACGAAGCGUGAGUGACGGUAAUGGGUAAAGAAGCACCGGCUAACUACGUG